GUGGGGAAUAUUGGACAAUGGGCGCAAGCCUGAUCCAGCCAUGCCGCGUGAGUGAUGAAGGCCUUAGGGUUGUAAAGCUCUUUCAGUAGGGAAGAUAAUGACGGUACCUACAGAAGAAGCCCCGGCUAACUUCGUGCCAGCAGCCGCGGUAAUACGAAGGGGGCUAGCGUUGUUCGGAUUUACUGGGCGUAAAGCGCACGUAGGCGGAUUGGUCAGUUAGAGGUGAAAUCCCGAAGCUCAACUUCGGAACUGCCUUUAAUACUGCCAGUCUCGAGUCCGGAAGAGGUGAGUGGAACUCCUAGUGUAGAGGUGGAAUUCGUAGAUAUUCGCAAGAACACCAGUGGCGAAGGCGGCUCACUGGCCCGGUACUGACGCUGAGGUGCGAAAGCGUGGGGAGCAAACAGGAUUAGAUACCCGUGUAGUCC
rnacentral:rRNA from 1 species